GGGCCGCUAGCUCAGAGGUAGAGCACCUGACUUUUAAUCAGAUGGUCGCUGGUUCGAUCCCAGCGCGGCCCACCA
rnacentral:tRNA from 1 species